rnacentral:rRNA from 1 species
UGAGACACGGCCCAAACUCCUACGGGAGGCAGCAGUAGGGAAUCUUCCACAAUGGACGCAAGUCUGAUGGAGCAACGCCGCGUGAGUGAAGAAGGCUUUCGGGUCGUAAAACUCUGUUGUUGGAGAAGAAUGGUCGGCAGAGUAACUGUUGUCGGCGUGACGGUAUCCAACCAGAAAGCCACGGCUAACUACGUGCCAGCAGCCGCGGUAAUACGUAGGUGGCAAGCGUUAUCCGGAUUUAUUGGGCGUAAAGCGAGCGCAGGCGGUUUUUUAAGUCUGAUGUGAAAGCCCUCGGCUUAACCGAGGAAGUGCAUCGGAAACUGGGAAACUUGAGUGCAGAAGAGGACAGUGGAACUCCAUGUGUAGCGGUGAAAUGCGUAGAUAUAUGGAAGAACACCAGUGGCGAAGGCGGCUGUCUGGUCUGUAACUGACGCUGAGGCUCGAAAGCAUGGGUAGCGAACAGGAUUAGAUACCCUGGUAGUCCAUGCCGUAAACGAUGAAUGCUAGGUGUUGGAGGGUUUCCGCCCUUCAGUGCCGCAGCUAACGCAUUAAGCAUUCCGCCUGGGGAGUACGACCGCAAGGUUGAAACUCAAAGGAAUUGACGGGGGCCCGCACAAGCGGUGGAGCAUGUGGUUUAAUUCGAAGCAACGCGAAGAACCUUACCAGGUCUUGACAUCUUUUGAUCACCUGAGAGAUCAGGUUUCCCCUUCGGGGGCAAAAUGACAGGUGGUGCAUGGUUGUCGUCAGCUCGUGUCGUGAGAUGUUGGGUUAAGUCCCGCAACGAGCGCAACCCUUAUGACUAGUUGCCAGCAUUUAGUUGGGCACUCUAGUAAGACUGCCGGUGACAAACCGGAGGAAGGUGGGGAUGACGUCAAAUCAUCAUGCCCCUUAUGACCUGGGCUACACACGUGCUACAAUGGAUGGUACAACGAGUUGCGAGACCGCGAGGUCAAGCUAAUCUCUUAAAGCCAUUCUCAGUUCGGACUGUAGGCUGCAACUCGCCUACACGAAGUCGGAAUCGCUAGUAAUCGCGGAUCAGCACGCCGCGGUGAAUACGUUCCCGGGCCUUGUACACACCGCCC